UUUUCAUCAUUCUGUAGCCGAACGUUGCCGCGUCAAGUUACGCUUACGCUAAACAUUCUUCGGUGUUGUUGGCCACACAUAUUGAGCGUCGCUCGGUACGUGUCUUUGCUCUGUGCUCUGUGUGUGCGUGUCUCUGUGUAUGUGUCAGCGAAAAUCAAUAACAAAGCGCAAGACGCUGACAGCAGCAG